UACGUAGGGUGCAAGCGUUGUCCGGAAUUAUUGGGCGUAAAGAGCUCGUAGGCGGUUUGUCGCGUCGAAUGUGAAACCCGGGGCUCAACCCCGGGCCUGCAUUCGAUACGGGCAGACUAGAGUUCGGUAGGGGAGUCUGGAAUUCCUGGGUGUAGCGGUGAAAUGCGCAGAUAUCAGGAGGAACACCAAUGGCGAAGGCAGCACUCUGGGACGUGACUGGACGCUGAGACGCGAAAGCGUGGGGAGCGAACAGG
rnacentral:rRNA from 1 species